UCGGGAAUUUUGGGCAAUGGGCGAAAGCCUGACCCAGCAACGCCGCGUGAAGGAUGAAGUAUUUCGGUAUGUAAACUUCGAAAGAAUAGGAAGAAUAAAUGACGGUACUAUUUAUAAGGUCCGGCUAACUACGUGCCAGCAGCCGCGGUAAUACGUAGGGACCAAGCGUUGUUCGGAUUUACUGGGCGUAAAGGGCGCGUAGGCGGUGUGUCAAGUCAGUUGUGAAAUCUCCGAGCUUAACUCGGAACGGUCAACUGAUACUGUCACACUAGAGUACAGAAGGGGCAAUCGGAAUUCUUGGUGUAGCGGUGAAAUGCGUAGAUAUCAAGAGGAACACCUGAGGCGAAGGCGGGUUGCUGGGCUGAUACUGACGCUGAGGCGCGAAAGCUAGGGUAGCAAACGGGAUUAGAUACCCCUGUAGUCCCUGAGCGGGCUGGCAAGGCGCAU
rnacentral:rRNA from 1 species